ensembl:lncRNA
GAUAACAUCAAGGAAUUAUUUAAUUUUGUUGGGUAUGAUACUGGCCUGGUGGUUAUGUUAAAACAAAAAUCCUUAUGUUAGAGGUACAUAUAAUAUACACGUUUCACGCAUAUUAUAUACAUAUAUGUCUAUGUCUAUAUGUAUUAUAUAUAAAUAGAAGGAUCUGAUGAGAUCUGGCAUUUGCUUUAAGUUACUCCAACAUUAAAAAUAAAUAAAAGAACAAAGACAAGUCUGGGGAACGGGGAUAUGUGAGGCAGGAGUAGCAAGAUGUUGUGGUUAUUGAAGCUGGGUGAUUGGUACACGGGCGUUCACUGUUCCGUUCCAUCUACUUUUGGGUACGUUUGAAAUUUUCCAUUGUAAAACUCUGUUUAAGAGAGCAAAAUAUGUUGGCUUAGCAACAGAAAAAUGUACAUAUGUUCAGCCGAAGACACGAACAGAAAUGUUCGGAGCGGCACUAUUUAUAACUGUCCCAAACUGGAAACAGCCCAAAUGUCCAUCGACAGUAGAUCGCAUAAGUAAAUGGUGGUGUUCGUAUAACGGAAUGAAUAGCGUGGCUGAAUCUCAGACAUGACGGAUGGGUAAAGACGGCAGACAUAAAAUUGUGCACACGGUCUGCUUCCGUUUAAUACAAAAACAGGAAAACUAUGCUAUUAGAAGUGAGCACAUUGUGGGUAGACUCCGAAAAGAGGCAGGAAGAGGCUUCAGGGGCCAGGGCCUGUGUUAUUUCUGGAUUUGGGUGCUGGAUAGAAGAAACAGUGAUGGGGGUCGAUGCUGACGUCCUGGGCCAGCCCGGCGAGAUGCCUCCAGAGCAGCAGUUUCCCCGCGGGGGCCACCGGCGGCUUCAGUUUGGUGCUUCUCCUGGCUGUGUAAGCGCUGGGACGGGUUCUUGACCCUCUCGAGAUUCCAUGAGUGCAUUAGCCAGGGUUCUCCAGAGAAUCAGCACCAGGAUACAUAUGAGGAGAUGUAUUACAGGAAUUGGCUCACAAGAUUAUGAAGGCUGAGAAGCCCCACAGUCUGCCACCUGCAAGCUGGAGACCCAGGAAGUCGGUGGUGUCACUCAGUCCAAGCCCGAAGGCCCGAGAACCAGAGGGGCCGAUGGUGUAAGCCUCAGUCUGAGUCUCAAGGCCCGAGGAGCGACGAUGUCCGAGGGCAGAAGAUGGAUGUCCCAGCGCAAACAGAGAGCAGAUUUGCCCUUCUUCCUCCAUCUUUGUUUGCUUUUAGGCCCUCACCGGAUUGGGUGAUGGCCACCUGCAUUGGCGAGGGGGCCUCCCAUCCUCAGUCUACGGAUCCAAAUGCCAAUCUCUUCCAGGAACGCCUUCACAGACAGACCCAGAAAUAAUGUUCCACCAGCUACCUGGGCAUCCCUCAGCCAGUCAGGUUGACAUAGAAAAUUAACCAUCACAAUGAGUCACCUAAAAUGUUCUAGAAAAUUCCUUUUCUGCUUAAACAAAAGCAGAGUAGUUUCUAUCUAUACAAAUAAUACUUUUCUGUUUGUCCCGCUUUCUAUUGUUUUUCUCCUUCCUUGCUUUCUUUUUGAAGGAUUGAGUUUUAUGCUUUUCUUUAUACCUGGUUUGGAAGUUAGACACUAUUUCUACUCUUUCUGAGAUUGCCCUGGACAUUUUUACAGUCUAAGCUUAGUCAAGAGAUCUAUCUCCCUUCAAACAAAGCCUAAGAACCCUUAAAUAACCACGGUUCCCUCUCUGUUACUCCGUGUUUUUGUUCGCCAGUACUUUAUCUUGACCUUUUAAGAACCACCCCCAAAUUAGACAUCAUCAUCAUUAAUGAAUUUGCUCCUCGUUCCUUUUCGUCUCAGACCUCUCCUCUGGAGGCAUUUUCAUUCUUUCUGAAGUUCGUCUUCUAGAAGCUCCUUCUGCCUGUCGGUGAUAAACUCCCACAUUCUGUUGGUCUCAAUGUCUUCACCUGGUUUAGGGCGGGGAUGGCUGUCCCCACUCACAGGGCUGUGGGGAGAAUCAAAGUCGCUCCCCGACGGGCAUUCUCUGUGGCCCUAACACCCUGGGAAGACGGAGUCGGCCUCAGUCAGGCUCUCCGCUCCGGCCAGGCUGCGUCCUGGCCCUUCCCGCAACACCCAUUCCCCCCGCCCCAACUCUUGACGUACCAGAUGCUGCCAUUUCAGGUGAUCCUUGUCAAAAUCCCUUAGCCUGCCGUUCCAGGCCCCGUAGCUUCCAGACUUAACAUGCCCCUGCCUGACACAGACACACCACGUUACCUGCCCAUCCUCAGGCCCGUGGUCUUUCCCUCUUCUGUGCACCUGCUCCACGGGGCACUAAGAGAAAUAAAAUUGCCCUCUGUGCCAGUGUAUGCCCCACCUUGGGGGGGGGGGACAGACAGGAGGGGUUCCAAAAAGUGUCUGAUUUGUCAGCCCUGGACAGAAAGAAAUGGGGAACCAAAAAAGGGGAGGACCUCCGUGCCGAGGCCCCCUCUCGCAAAGCCUUGUGUGGCCACGGACGGUAAAGAGGAUUGAUAAGACAGACCUUGAUGGGCAAAAUGCUAAAUUGUAGGAGACAUAAGGUGACUGCGGGCCCCACGUGAAAGAGGAAGGCACCUGGCUUCAGAGACGAGGCCAGUGAAGGGAGGCAAGGCAGACAGAGGAGUCCGAAAGCUUCAGCAGUUUCUAGCAGAGGAACAAUUGAAACAGCGGGGUGAAGGAGGUCCCCAGGAAGCAGAGCGCUUUAGAGACUGCCCUGUGGUGUCACCCACUCCCCCCGCCCUACAACGUCCCCGUGGCCUCUGGAAUCCCAGGCCGUUUCCUGAAGAGGGUUUUGGGAGGGGAAUGCACAGUUACAGAUCCUACUAUGUGAGCCCAUGCGCCCUGAUUUGGGUUCUUUAAAACUGACAGAUGACUGGGGCAGCUCCUCACCUCUCUCCAGGUGCUCUGAGCGCUCUGAGCACACGCUUCCGUCCGCGUGUGCUGCACGGGUGGGGGACCCAUAACGCCUGGUCGGUGAAUUCCCCUCUGUGGAACUUGUGUUCCCAGUGGAGGACCAUCACAAGCGCUGUCGGGGCACUUGGAUCCUCGGGCUAGACUGAGACCGCUGUCGUGUUACCAGAGUGUGUAGCUGGGAUGCAUGGUUUGGGUGCUGCCGCCCGGGGACACUUGCUGGUUGGAUGUGUUUAUUGUGACCCCUGCUGGUAGCUUCUAUAAAUGUCGACUGAAUAUGGAGCCAGGAACUGACUACACCUCGUCCCCUGGGCCGAGGUCAUGCAGUGGGAACCACAGUGCACAUGACAAGGAGGAAGAGAGUACUCUUCUCAUACAAGAAUUAAGGAGAACCGAGUGAUACGCAGUACUAGCUCCACAUUUAGCAACCUGGACUAGUUAGUUACAAAGGUUUCUGGAACUUGGCACCUCACGGUGAACUAGCAAGGGUUCAUAAGGACGUGGACAUCUGGGCAUCAUCAGGCUCCAUCAUAACAAUAACUGAAAAGAUUGCCGCCGCCACUGGCACCUGGUAGACAGCCUUGGACAUUGAUAAUACUUUAUUCCUGUGUCACCAGGCAAGGCAGGCAGUGUGCCUUUACACCUUCCAUGGGGACUUUGGAUUCUCUUGCAAUAUGUCAUCAAUGGACCAAACUUGAGCACAACACAAGCCACUUGGUGGCAGUCCUGACUUUCCUUUACGUCGAUGAUAUUCUGACAGCAGUUCCUACUGAGGAAACUGUCCACACUGCCUUGCAUGCUCUGCAGGUACAGGUAAGCAGACAUGGUUGGGCCUUGAAGGCAGACAGAAUCCAGGGUCCUGCAACCCAAGGGACUUUCUUAGGAAACAUCUGGGCAACUGCUAAAGAUAAAUUGCUGGCCUGACGCCUCCAACCACGAAGAAAGAGGCCCUAUACCAACUUGGCUUCUUUGUACGUAUGGCUUCUUUGAGUAUGAAGGCAGCAUACUCCACGUUUAGGAAUUUUACUAAAGCCUUUGUACUGGACCAGCAGACAAGAGACCAAGUUUGAACGGGCCCCUGCAACAGGAAGCCUUGGAAGAUCAGGAAGCUGUCGACCGAGCCCUGCCACCAAGCCCAGUCUCCUUCAGAGGCCAUGGAAUUCACCUCAGCUUUGGAAAUUACAUCCCACCAGCACUCACUGGCCCCAGGGCUUUUGCAUUUAUGGACUUGCUUCUCCUACUGAGAAGUGCACACUCUCUAGAAUCCCAUACGUAUCCUCUCAGCACGUAACAGACUUGUGCACGCUGGCCAGAUUUCAACAGCAAGCACCUGCCGUUGCCUUUGCCUGAGGACUUUCCCCGGCCACUGAAGCCAGCUCACCUACUGGUCCACCGGCACAUGGGUGGGCUGGCAGCUAACGCCUCCAGGAGCAGCCCGCCCACAACGGCAGGUGGGAGCUGACAGGCAAACACCCGGCUGCCUUGCCCCACAGGGGGCUAUUGUUGAAGUGUCUCAGACACUGGCUCCCAGAGUUCUCUAUGCAGGAAAUUUCCCGUAUGGUCACCUGUAGUUUAACCCUGCUAGAGAACUCAGCCUGAGCUGAAAUAAAGAACACAAGAGACAGGAUAUACGACAGAAGGAAUACAAUUUAGAAAUGAAACAGUGACUAGAAGACUAGAUUGAGAAAACCUUGUAAGAGGAAGGACUGAAGAAAUAAAAUUGUAAAAGAAAAGCUAAGAGAUAUAGAAGAUACAAGGAAAGGUGCUAACGUCUGAAUAAUGGGAAUUCUACAGAGAAAUAUAAACAUGAAAGGAGAAAAUAUUUGAAGAAAUAACGGAGACAGAUUUCCUGGAGUAAUACAAAUAUGAAGCACCUUGGAUCAAAAAAGUGCAGAGUGCCAAAAGGGGGAAAAAAGGAAUAACUCGCAGUUACACACGUCAUCCAGGACGUUAAGGAUAUCAGAGAUAACGCUUACAGAGAGAAAAGCAUAUCACACAUAAAGGAAAGAGAAUCAGGCUGACAUCAGACUUUUCAACAGCAACACUGGACACAAGAAGAUAAUAACAUAGUAUUUGCAAAGUAUUGAAGGAAAAGAAGUUAGAAUCUAGAACUUUAUAUCCACCCAAACUGUCAUUCAAAUAUGACAGAUGGGUCUCAAUAUUCCAAUUAGCACCAUGAGUUAAAUGGACUAAAUGUAUCAGUUAAAAGAAAAUUAGUGAUUCAACUUUGAAGAAUCCAGAUCCACACAGAGACAUCUAAAGCAAGGGACCAUGCACAGCUUGAGAGCAAGAGGAUGGACGAUGACUUGUCAGGCAAAAAUACUAACCCAACCAGAAGAAACGUGGGGCAGCUACACGAACAUCAGAUGAAAGAAACUAAGAUAAGAAGCUUCUGUAGGGAUGGACAGAGUCACGCUAUAAUGAAGGGUUCGAUUCACAAAAAGAGAUAGCAAUUUUAAACAUGUUGUGCUAAAUAACAUAAACUCCAAAUAUAUUAAGAAAACAUGGACAGACUGUAGCAAGAAGUCAUGAAAUCCACCACAGGGAUCCGCUGUCGGUGAAUGUGGAUCAGAGCAGCCACUCCGGAAAACAGUGGGCAGCACUGCCUAAAGUCGUGACAGAGCGAGUUCACGCCUAGGUACCGUCCCAAGAGAAGCUCUCCCACCCGAACAAAGACACACGUGCAAGAAUGUUUACAACGGCAGAAAAAUGGGAAGACGUGGAGGGCCAGCAGCAGAAGACUAAACGGAUAAACCGUCCCGCAAGGAAACAUUGACAGUCAAAACAAACGAAGACCAGCAACACAGAGCAAUGAGCGGGACCACAGUAAUACAAUGACGGAAGUUAAAGUUUGAAAAUUCCCUAAAUAGUUUGGGAUGGGGGCGGAAGUAAAACUGAAAGCUAAUUAGUUCAGCACACAACCACAAGGGCUAUGAGAAGGACGACAGAAUGAGCCCAAGGGAGGAUAAGUAAAGUGGAA